GAUGAACGCUGGCGGCGUGCCUAAUACAUGCAAGUCGAGCGAAUGGAUUAAGAGCUUGCUCUUAUGAAGUUAGCGGCGGACGGGUGAGUAACACGUGGGUAACCUGCCCAUAAGACUGGGAUAACUCCGGGAAACCGGGGCUAAUACCGGAUAACAUUUUGAACCGCAUGGUUCGAAAUUGAAAGGCGGCUUCGGCUGUCACUUAUGGAUGGACCCGCGUCGCAUUAGCUAGUUGGUGAGGUAACGGCUCACCAAGGCAACGAUGCGUAGCCGACCUGAGGGGGGGAUCGGCCACACGGGGACUGAGACACGGCCCAAACUCCUCCGGGAGGCAGCAGUAGGGAAUCUUCCGCAAUGGACGAAAGUCUGACGGAGCAACCCCGCGGGAGUGAUGAAGGCUUUCGGGUCGUAAAACUCUUUUUUUAGGGAAAAACAAGUGCUAGUUGAAUAAGCUGGCACCUUGACGGUACCUAACCAGAAAGCCACGGCUAACUACGU
rnacentral:rRNA from 1 species